rnacentral:rRNA from 1 species
UGGUGGAGUGAUUUGUCUGGUUAAUUCCGUUAACGAACGAGACCUCGACCUACUAAAUAGUUCGACGAAUUCUUCGGGAUUCGCACGCGACUUCUUAGAGGGACUAUCGGUGGGUAGCCGAUGGAAGUUCGAGGCAAUAACA